rnacentral:siRNA from 1 species
UAGGGUUGCAUGCCUCCUCCUA